AUGGUGGCACCAAGCAUGAGGUUACAACUGCAUUACUUGCAAGGGAAUCACAAGUCACAAGAAACACAUGUUAUUACAAUGGAUAAUCAAUGGGUCAUCAUACUAUGACUUUCUUGCAAGUUGUGCAGUUGUUGCCUCAAGCUUGCUGCCUCCG
rnacentral:pre_miRNA from 1 species